GAAGCCACGCCAACCCCGCAACGCCACUGCGUCGUCGCCUCCGUUGAGCGGUCGCCAUCAUCGUGCGAGAAAGGAGAAGGAGCCGUCGAGGGGUCGCUGAGCCGCUGCAGUCACCGUCGCGUGCGUUUUUGUCACAGAAGCUUCCAUUUCCGUCACUUUCAUGUUGCGGAAAGAAAGAACUACGCAUGAGCCAGGGGCCAGGGAAAGGGAACCACUGCCGUUGCAUCCUGGCUAUGCCGCCGUUCAAUCCCAUCGCCAUCCAUAAAGUCGCAAGGAGCAUUUGUCGUUGUUGAUUGAUGGUGCCAGCCUCGUUAUCGCGUCUGUAAGGAGAAAAGGUCACGUGGAGAAUGGAGAGCCGCUGCGUGCCGCCGUUGUUUCACUGUGGCCAUGGAGAGGAACAUGAAUGGAAAAGGAAACAGGGAAGCUGCUACUUGGGAUUUGAGGAAAACGGCUCUGUUCUGCCUCGCCUCUAGGUUCUGCAAGUUGCCAGAGUCCUCAGCCGUCGGGAACCAGCACUGGAGCUGCCCAGAAUCACUACUGCUGCUCUCAUGGGAGUUGGUAUUGGAACCACUGAUGGAGCUGCUGUGUUUAGUGAUUUUCACGAGUUGUGACAUCGAGGAUUGAAAUUGUAGAUAAAUGCUUCUGCCAUGACACAAUGGAACAGAUUGUUGAUUCUUUGUUGUAGUCUCUUAUCUCGCAAGUCACCAGGAAGCCCCAAAUCGCCACUCACCAUCGUCGCACCAUCAUCAUCGCUGCAUUCUUCCCGGCGUCGCUGCUUCUCUCCUCUCUGAGGCUUCACCGCUUCUCCACGGCGUCCUUGCUUCUCCCCUGUUCUGUUUCUAACUCACUGCUUCUGCUUCACUGUCUUGGCUGAUUGUGGAUUGUGCUUCGCUACUGCUGCUUUGCUGCUGCUACUUCGCUGCAUUGGCCGUUUGUGGGUUGUCAUCUGUGAACAAAAACGCCACUGUUCCCCUGUUUCUGCGCUUAUCCUCCACCGUGCGCCACCAGUAGCCGCCUCUGGGUCGACACUGCUCUGCCUCCAUUCUCCCUCCUCUUGCCAUUUUCUGUUUCUGCUUCUUCUGCAGGAAAACUAUGUUGAAGGGGAAAUCGAACUUCAUUAAGGUCAAACUUUUAAGAGCAAAUGUUACAGAGUAAAAGUCAUGAACUUGUGGAUCGGACAUGAUGAUAAAUCUAUUUGCUACUUAGCUAGUUCAACUCUUCUUUGUUAUAUUUUUUGCAACAUUAGAUGAUAUAGUUCGAGGUUGUCAUGAUAGUAUAUAUAUUGUGGUAUUUUGAAUGUGA